GAGUAACGCGUGGGUAUCUGCCUAUUAGUGGGGGACAACUUGGAGAAAUCCAAGCUAAUACCGCAUAAUCUCUACGGAGGAAAGCGGGGGAUCUUCGGACCUCGCGCUGAUAGAUGGGCCCGCGUCUGAUUAGCUAGUUGGUAAGGUAAUGGCUUACCAAGGCGAUGAUCAGUAACGGGUUUGAGAGGAUGAUCAGUCACACUGGAACUGAGACACGGUCCAG
rnacentral:rRNA from 1 species